GAAAAUUUCAUUCCAUUAGAUCACCAAUUCAAGGGAGACAAAAUUAACUACAGAGAAUGCUGGAGUUGUGUUUCAAAAUUGAGAAAAUAAAGGCGAGGCAGUUUCAUUUUGAAUGAGGCCUCUAUCUGCAAUUCUAUAUAGAGGAGUUUUUGUACCUGGGAUAUUACAAGACAUAUUGGAAUCAACCAUGUAGCUGUUGGUUAAAGACGCGAAAUUUUCAAAAGAAACUUUGUACUUUAUAUUGCUUUAUUUAGAAAUUUCUUGUGAAAGCACAAAAGGCUCCUUUUGGCAGCAUUUUAAGAUUCAAGAUCCAUCAUUCUUGCAAUCUUGCAAUCUUGCCUUCUUCACCAAAUGAGGCUGAUAA